rnacentral:rRNA from 1 species
AACGAACGCUGGCGGCAUGCCUAACACAUGCAAGUCGAACGAGACCUUCGGGUCUAGUGGCGCACGGGUGCGUAACGCGUGGGAACCUGCCCUUAGGUUCGGAAUAACUCCCCGAAAGGGGUGCUAAUACCGGAUAAUGUCUUCGGACCAAAGAUUUAUCGCCUUUGGAUGGGCCCGCGUUGGAUUAGCUAGUUGGUAGGGUAAAAGCCUACCAAGGCGACGAUCCAUAGCUGGUCUGAGAGGAUGAUCAGCCACACUGGGACUGAGACACGGCCCAGACUCCUACGGGAGGCAGCAGUGGGGAAUAGUGGACAAUGGGCGGAAGCCUGAUCCAGCAAUGCCGCGUGAGUGAUGAAGGCCUUAGGGUUGUAAAGCUCUUUUACCCGGGAUGAUAAUGACAGUACCGGGAGAAUAAGCUCCGGCUAACUCCGUG